GACCUUUGACAUUUAUAUAUAUAUAUAUAUAUACACACACAUAUAUAUAUACACACAAAUGUGCCUGGUUGUCAGCAGGGACACGGUGCCCUGACUGCAUGGCACAGGCCCAGUGUCGUCACCUGCGUGCUGUCAGGAGCGUUUGUGUUACGUGUUCUGGUGCCCUGGCUGACGUUUCCCUGAGUGACGUGGAGCUGCUGGGAAUGCAGUCGUCCUCACCUUUUGCAGCUUGGCUGAGUGUUAUAGCACAGCUAGGUUUUUAUAACACAGCUACAAGGGCACAGUUUGCCCUUUUGUUUUCUGUGAAAUAUAAUUGUGAGAAAGAAGUAGUCUGUGACAGGGGAGGAUGCCAUUCUGUGCCCCUUUAUCCCCAGCAGCUGUGCCAGCCGAAGAAGCUGACACCACCAUCUUCCUACUGCCAUCUUCAUGCUGUUCUGCCACGCUACUUUGGCAUUUGAAUAAGAAGUUGCAAGGUUGCAAGAUAGAUCAGUUUGUUUUCUUGUAUUUAAAAGGCAUGCUUUUUUUCCCAACUACUAGGAACAGUGAAGAAGGGGAGCAUGGGGGACAGGUGGAACCACUAUUGGCAUCAAAGAAAAAAGAAGCUGGGUGGAAGCGUGCCCUUGGUGCCUAUGGUCCCAUGUUGUUGUAAAUCCUGCUGCUUGGAGUGGAGAAGACAUCCAUCAUAGAGGAAUGACUGUGGAUCUUGAGAAGCUUUGCUGACCAGGCGAUUCCUCUGACACCUUGGAAGAUAAGUGGUGUUCGUAAUGUGUUCUGCACACAGAUGCUUGGGUGCAUAAACCUCGUUCCCAUAGAACUCCAGAUAGAUUUGGUAGGAUUACUCUGGUGGGCGAGGAGUAUCCAUGAAGACAGCUUUUGUAAUGAGGCCAGAACUGUGUGGUGUGCUGAUGAGUAGUCCUCCUCCUUGAAGUGAGGUGUGUAUGUGAACACACGCUACUUUUCUCCUCCCACACACACAUGAACUCUAUCUAAAGUUGUUUAGGGUAGAAUAUCUCCAUUGAUUGCAACGCUUGAAGACCUGAGAAGUCAUGUUACUAAUGAACCCGGGGUUACUACAAGACUACAGGAAGCCUCAGGCGGUUAGCUCAUACUGGAAAGGAAUAUCAGAUUUUGCUGGUGGGGGCUGGGAUUGUCCAUUGGGCUGCAGGGUUUGGGGCAGCUGGGAGAAGUCCCUGUAGCCUUUUUCUCAACAACCUGAUAAAGAUCCCUGUGGAAGUCUCAUGCUGUAGGAUUCCUACGGCUGUUGCUGGUUUGUUUUCUUUUAAUCCUUCAAUAAAGGGCAAUUCUGGUGAGCAGUCAAUAUGAAGAUUUAACAUCCUCUGUCUUUAGAUGUCUGAUUAAGCAUGACUUGCUGUGAUUGGGAUUUCAAGCACCUAAUUUGCCAGAAGUCUUCCCAAUUACCUCAAUUACCUUUACCCAAGGAAUGAUUGCUAUUUCCAGGUACGCAUCCUGUUGUCCACAGUUUCUCCCUCGGGUUUUUCUGGCAUCAUUCUUACAUUAAUUGUUCUUACUGAUGCAUACUGUAGGCUAUAAACUAUCCCAUGGUGCUUCCCGAAUAUGUUGCAGCACUGACACAGCUUCUGCUUGUGUUUUCUAACUUUUCCACUUCCACUCCAUUUGAGGAAUGUUCAGAAGCUUCUUUUUAUUUAAAACCUUCAAAUGACAGAAAUUGUGCGUGUCUUCAGUUGAGCACAGUCAUUCCUAUCCAAAACCAUUUCAUAUAAUUUCCUCUCUAUGCAAGCAAUCUAUAAAAAGUUAUAUGGAAAAGAAAUUUUAUCACAAUAUUUACAGUAAAACCAGUAGUAAAAUAUAUUAAAUUAUGUUCUUAGGUUUCCUGGUCCAACAGCUCUUCUAGACAUAAUUUGCUUGAAGAAAUUGGGGUAAAUAUGA